rnacentral:lncRNA from 1 species
AGUUACAGCUCCAGUAGAUACCAUUGUUGGGAAUUUGAGCAUCUCUUUCCUUUCUGUAAAACAAGGGUUAAUUAGAAUAACUAUCAACAGAAUUGUUAUGAGAAGCAAAUGUAAAUAGCAACACACUCUAUCAGCAGCUAUAGUUCCUCAAAACAAAGGACUUAGAGCUGGUCAUAGCUAACUAUAAAGGAGUUAAAGUCUGUUUUCCUUUUUCUUCCCAUCAUUUCUACUUUUAAAAACCUCAUAUAAAAUACAUAUAACAUAAAAUUUGCCAUCUUAACUUACAAAUGUACAGUUUAGUGGCAUUAAGUACAUUCACAUUGUUGUGCAACUGUUGCCACAAGCCAUCUUCAAACCUUUGUUCAUCUUGCAAAACUGAAACUCUGUACUCAUUAAGCAAUAACUUCACAUUUCCUCCUCCCCACAGCUCCUAACAACCACCAUUCUACUUUCUUUCUUUAUGAAUUUGACUAUUCUAGGCAUGCUGUAUAAGUGGAAUCAGACUGUAUUUAACUAUUCUAGGCAUGCUGUAUAAGUGGAAUCAGACUGUAUUUGACUAUUCUAGGCACGGUGUAUAAGUGGAAUCAGACUGUAUUUCAGUAUUCUAGGCACGCUGUAUAAGUACAAUCAGACUGUAUUAAACUAUUCUAGGCAUGCUGUAUAAGUGGAAUCAGACUGUAUUUGACUAUUCUAGGCACGCUGUAUAAGUGGAAUCAUACUGUAUUUGACUAUUCUAAGCACUCUGUAUAAGUGGAAUCAGACUGUAUUUGACUCUUCUAGGCACACUGUAUAAGUGGAAUCAGACUGUAUUUGACUCUUCUAGGCACACUGUAUAAGUGGAAUCAGACUGUAUUUGACUAUUCUAGGCACGCUGUAUAAGUGGAAUCAGACUGUAUUUGACUAUUCUAGGCACUCUGUAUAAGUGGAAUCAGACUGUAUUUGACUAUUCUAGGCAUGCUGUAUAAGUGGAAUCAUACUGUAUUUGACUAUUCUAGGCACGCUGUAUAAGUGGAAUCAGACUGUAUUUGACUCUUCUAGGCACACUGUAUAAGUGGAAUCAGACUGUAUUUGACUCUUCUAGGCACACUGUAUAAGUGGAAUCAGACUGUAUUUGACUCUUCUAGGCACGCUGUAUAAGUGGAAUCAGACUGUAUUUGACUCUUCUAGGCACGCUGUAUAAGUGGAAUCAGACUGUAUUUGACUAUUCUAGGCACGCUGUAUAAGUGGAAUCAGACUGUAUUUGACUAUUCUAGGCACUCUGUAUAAGUGGAAUCAGACUGUAUUUGACUAUUCUAGGCAUGCUGUAUAAGUGGAAUCAUACUGUAUUUGACUAUUCUAGGCACGCUGUAUAAGUGGAAUCAGACCGUAUUUGACUAUUUUAGGCACGCUGCAUAAGUGGAAUCAUGCUGUAUUUGACUAUUCUACGCACUCUCUCUGUAUAAGUGGAAUCAGACUGUAUUUGUCCUUCAAUGACUGGCUUAUUUCACUUAGCAUAAUGUCCUCAACGUUUCUUCAUGAUGUAACAUGUAUCAGAAUUUCCUUCCUUUUUAAGCUUGAAAUAUAUUCCAUUGUAUGCAUAUGUCAUGUUCUGUUUAUCCAUUCAUCUGUCUCUGCACACUUGUGUUGUUUCUAUCUUUUGGCUGUUGUAAAUAAUGCUGCUAUGAAAAUGAGUGAACCAAUAUCUCUGUGAGACCCUGCUUUCAAUUUUGAGGGAUAUAUACCCGAAGUGAAAUUGCUGGAUCCUAUGGUAAUCCUAUUAUUACUUUUUUGAAGAACUGCCACUGUUUCCGUAGUGGCUGCACACAUUUUACAUUCUCACCAGCAGUGCACAAAGGUUUUCAUUUCUCCACAUCCUCACCCCCACUUGUUAUUUUCUGUGUGUUUUCUUCCUUUAUUGUAGCCUUUCUAAUGGGUAUGAGGUAGUAUCUAUUUCCACUUUUUAAAGAACCAUUUCCUCCCUCUUCUGGUUUGCUCUGUUUUUUUUUUUUUUGUUCUACUCCUUUUUCUCAAAAUCAAGUUUAAGAAGAGAUCUGACUCUAGUUGCAUGUCUUCAUAUGAACUUAAGUCAGAAGCCUUCUCUAGAUAUAAAGAAAACCAAUCUCCACCCCACCACCCCCAAAAA